UUUGAGGAAAGUCCAUGCUCGCACUUGCUGAGAUGCAAGUAGUGUUUGUGCCAAAGAAAUUCAUGCCUUUGGGUAGGGAGGAGUCCCGAACGGAAGGAACUAACCUAAAAGUAAUCAUGGUGUAGUUCUAGUAAAUGCUCCACAGUGACGAAGCUUUAGGAAACUAAAGAAGUGAAACGAGGAAAGCCCCUCAAGCGAGAAACCUUUAUGGGAAGGUUGAUGUGGGAAAUGAACCACUAAACCAGUUUGUGAAAACAAACUAGAUAAAUUAUCAUCUAAUACAAAACAUGGCUUAUC
rnacentral:RNase_P_RNA from 1 species